rnacentral:rRNA from 1 species
AGUUCAGGGAGGUAGUGACAAUAAAUACCUUACAGAGGUCUCGUUAACCGAGAUCUCUCAAACGGAAUGAGUACAACGUGAAUCCUUUAACGAGGAUCGACUGGAGGGCAAGCCUGGUGCCAGCAGCCGCGGUAAUUCCAGCUCCAGUAGCGUAUAUUAAAGCUGUUGCGGUUAAAAAGCUCGUAGUUGGAUAUCAGUGCGUGUCCGGUCCGGUAUGCCUGGCGCUGUCGCUCACGCGGCAAUGCUGGGCUCCCAAAUAUCGGCUGGCCGCAUUCAAUCGUGCCGGAUCCGUCGACGGGCCGUUCUUCGGAGGGGCCUGUUGGCGACCGGCGACGUUACCUUGAACAAAUUAGAGUGCUCAAAGCAGGCUCUGAAUGCCUGUAUACAUAUUCAUGGAAUUGGAGAAUACGUCCCUGGCUCGAUUUGGUUGGUUUUGAGAGUCGAAGGGAAAUGAUUAAUAGGGACUGACGGAGGCAUUCGUAUUGCGACGCGAGGGGUGAAAUCCUGUGACCGUCGCACGACGAACUACUGCGAAAGCAUUUGCCGAGAAUGUUUUCAUUAGUCAAGAACGAAAGUUAGAGGUUCGAAGGCGAUCAGAUACCGCCCUAGUUCUAACCGUAAACGAUGUCGACCAGCAAUCCGCAACGGUCACUACACGGACUGUGCGGGCAGCUUCCCCGGGGAAACCAGAGUUUUUGGACUCCGGGGGAAGUAUGGUUGCAAAGCUGAAACUUAAAGGAAUUGACGGAAGGGCACCACCAGGAGUGGAGCUUGCGGCUUAAUUUGACUCAACACGGGACAACUCACCAGGCCCGGACACCGUAAGGAUUGACAGACUGAUAGCUCUCUCUUGAUUCAGUGGGUGGUGGUGCAUGGCCGUUCUUAGUUGGUGGAGUGAUUUGUCUGGUUUAUUCCGAUAACGAACGAGACUCUGGCCUAUUAAACUUGACGCUGUCAGUCUCUUGUGACUGCGGCGCGCUUCUUA